CAACAACCCCUUAUCACGAGCUUCUCUUGGAUGCAGUUUCGACGUUGCGCGUGUUAGAGUCCCUCCCUAUUCGGAAAACUUACAUUACCCAGUUGUCGACUCGUGCCUCGGUGUUGCACGUGACAUCUCGACUUUCUGACGAACACCACAGAGAAAAGUGGGUUCAUCGUGCUUUAAACUGUGAAACGAAGAGGCGGUGUGACCCGUUUCAUAACGAGCGGCAACGCGAUCGACCGGCCGAGCAAGUAAUCGCGGCGAUUCUCCGUCAAUCUUCGCUUGAUACGGUCCGACCAUUACGACAUCCUUUCGACGUGUAACCGAAGAACAAGAUCGAAGACAGGUUCGCAUCGACGAUAGCCUGGCGAGAAUGGGUUUUCAAUGUGCUGCUCGUCGGUGAGUUCUCUGAAAAUGUCUACGUAAAAUAUUUCUUGAUCGCGGUAAUGGAUAGAAAAUAACCUACUGCGUAUUGCCACUCGCAAAAUAUUUAUUACUCGAGAUUUGAUUCUAUUUUACUGCCAGGCCUUCCUUUCGCUCCUUACGAGAUAACAACUCUAGGUUACAUGGGGAUACAUUUCUCAAAACAUUUACAAAUUUAUCUUAUCUUUUAUGAUUGUUACGUAAUUUACAUCGAUAUAUCUUCCUUUUUUCAAGUUUUUUAUUUGUAGGUUGUAGAUAUGUCAUAGAUAUUAAUUAAAAUUGAUAUUAGUAAUAAUUAACAACAUAAUGAUAUCGUAACGAGUAGUAUAAUGGUUCAAAGACCUCUUAUGCAGUAUUAAUAACACUAUCAAACGUAAUCUAUGUUAAUCCUGCAACCGAAGCAAUUUCGAUAUCGAAUAUGGACA